AGUAAAGUACCUUAUUAAAGGGUUACCUUGAUACGGUGAACAUGUUUAAACCUUUACUA
rnacentral:tRNA from 1 species